CUGGAGGUGUUUAAAACGAAAUGUUGUACUGUGUUGCGUCCAGUGGAAGCCCUAGCGACUUGGAACACUAGGGCGAUUUGCGGUUCUUAUCUGCAAUGACUAAGAUCUUAUGAUGGCCAUCCGAGACAAUGGCGAAACAUGGCCACAGAAGAGGAGAAGACGAAGAAAAGAGGAAGAAGCAAGAACUAAUUAACUCAACGGAAUAAAACAGUCAAGAUAAGCAGAUUAACAAGCAUGAGUUUACGGAUAACAAGAACAAUGCAUCUCACAGGACCUGCGCCACCUGAGACCGUCGAAAUGCUGAUAAGAACAGAUAUCAAGUGACACUUCUGCUUCUAUGAUAAAACUUCCUGCUUGGGAAUGGCACCACACCAUCCUCUUCUUCGUUCUCUUCGUCUUAAAUAAUCAAAGUAAUUGAAAUGUAAUAGCUAUGGCAUCAACAUGGACAUAUAAAUCGAGAUUCCACACCCAAAGCCAUGAGACAUGCAGCUUCAACGUUUGAAGAUAUGAAACGUUUGAAGAUAUGAAACGUUUGAAGAUAUGAAACAGAGCAUACCUUUGAUUACAGAAGGCAUAACUGCACAUUUUGAAGACCACACAGAGAUAGAAAUAUUGGCUACAGCUAUGGAUAUGGAAAGACUCAUGAGUGGUUAUAGCUUUCACCAACGUUUCUAGAAGGAGAAAAUGUGUUUAUGCUGCACCAUUCUCCCUUCCAUAGACUACUACAUUUCACUGAGACGGAACUGCGUGAAGUUAGUUAAUUGUCACCCUCAGAUAUCUCCGAUGUGGAUUAAUUUCUUUCUUCACAAGAUUUUUUUUCAAACUUUCAAAGCUUUAUGAAGUGAGACAAUUGCGUCAACUUAAGAAAGCUUUGUGUAAGGAAUCUUCAUGUUCGAAAGAGACAAGCUUGCAGCGAGAGUUUUGGAAUGGAGUAUUUUCCACUCAUGUGAAGACUUAUAAAGCUGAACACCCCAUACAAUAGGCCAAACAAUACUUAUAGCCUAUGGACAAGAGUUCAUUUAUAUUACGUUCCUGCCGUUGGAUCAACUUUCACUCCAACAAAGGGCUACCAAAUGAAUAAAAGUGCAUCCAUGCAGCACUAUGAAGAGGAUCAAGUGAAAUGAACGAACUCAAACAAUGGUCCUUCAUGUGAUUACCUUUGCACAUGAACAAGGCUCCAUGACGCCACAAACCAGGCUCCUUCAGGUGCUUCUUUUUUCACCUGAACAAGGCUCCAAGACGCCACACAACUGAUGUGGAUUAGCCUUCACUUUAACAAGUCUCCUAGAAACGAUUGGAUUUUUACUCAAACAAGGCUGUAUAAAAUUGAUCAAUUUAUGCUUGAACAACUUUCUAUGAAAUUUGAUCAAUUCUACAUCCUGUGACAACUCUUCUUGGAGUGGAUCAAAGUACUUCACGAGCAGGAUAGUGAAUCAACUUCGAUGCAAGCAAGACUCCACGAAAUGUGCAAUUCUAACCUCGACGUGACUGAAGUUUCGCUCAAGCAAAGUUCUGUGGGAACGGACCAUGUUUUACCCAGGUAUGAUCAUGAAAAUUUAUUAUUUAUUUGUAAUUACUCGAGAAAAGCACUAAGAAAUGGAUGAAGUUUUAAUCCUGGUAGUAGUAUGAUGUGAAUCAACUUUCAAGCAAGGCUCCGUGGUGUGGAUCAAUAUAUAUACUGACAGGAAAAUGCGCGGAAAUGGAUCAAUUUAUAACCCGGAAAGACUAUGAAGUGGAUCAACUUUCACUCAAUCAAGGCUCUUUAAAGCGGAUCAAUUCUUACCCAAAGAAAACUAUGAAGUGGAUCAACUUUCACUCAAUCAAGGCUCUAUAAAACGGAUCAAUUCUUACCCAGAAAGGAUUAUGAAGUGAGUCAACUUUCACUCAAACAAGGCUCCAUAUAGCGGAUCAAUUUCUACCCUGAUAAGACUAUGCAGUGAAUCAAGUUUCACUAAAACAAGGCUCUAUAAAAGAGAUCAAUUUCUACCCGAAAAGACUGAGAAUUGAAUCAACUUUCACUCAAACAAGGCUCUAUUAAAUGGAUCAAUUCUUACUAAGGAAAGAUAAAGUGAAUCAACUUUCACUCACACAUGGCUCCAAAAAGCGGAUCAAUUCUUACCCAAAAAGGACUAUGAAGUGAGUCAUCUUUCACUCACGCAGGCUCCAUAAAACGGAUCAAUUUUUACCUGAAAAGACUAUGAAGUGAAUCAACUUUCACUCAAUCAAGGCUCUAUAAAAAGGAUCAGUUCUUACCCAGGCAAGACUAUUAAGUGGACCAACUUUCACUCAAUCAAGGUUCUAUAAAAUGGAUCAAUUCUAAGAAAAGAUCAUGAAGUGAAUCAACUUUCACUCAAUUAUGGCUCCAAAUAGCGGAUCAAUUCUUAUCCAAAAAAGACUAUGAAGUGGAUCAACUUUCACUCAAUCAAGGCUCCAUAAAAAGGAUCAAUUCUUACCCA
rnacentral:lncRNA from 1 species